rnacentral:lncRNA from 1 species
GCCAGCCCACCAUGGUCCAGCUGGCUCAGUCACUCACCACGAAAAUUGUGCCUCAGUUUCCUCCUCUGUAAAUCUGGGGAAAUAAAAGCACCUACUUCAGAGGAUUGUUAUGAGAAUUCACAAGAUGAUCCAUAUAAAUCACACUGUGUCGUGCCUGGCUACCAGUAAGUACCUAAAAACUUUGGCUCUUUUUAUAGUUAAUGUCUACAUGUCUGAUUAUUAUGCAUCUGCAAACAUGUCUACAUUGUCUAGUAUGGAGUCUGGGGCUCAGGGACUAAGCAGAAGUUAGAAAAUUAAUAAAAGAUCUGGUGGAUAUGAAAUCCAUCUGGAUAUGCCAGUCAAAAUCAAUUUUGAAAUCUGAUAAUUUCAUUAGCUCAGCCAUCCUUCUCAUAGACAUAGUUUGCAUUUGAAUUUUUAGAAAUACCAAGAAACAACUGGAGUAGAUACCCAAAAAAGUCCAGAACAAUUGAUUUUCUUAGCCAUUAUUUCCAUUUGAAGAGAAAUAGUAGCUUCUCUAGAAUUGCUUCCUCUCAUAUCUUCCUUCUGAAUCCUGGUUUCCAGAGAGAGGGACACUGGGCUUAUACUAGAGUUUGGGUCAUGGAUGUGAUUCUCUUUGUUCCACUGAGGAAUCAGGACCACCCUGGUUAAGGUUAUCAAUUUCUGUAUUUCUGAAGUGGUCUAUGACCUUUCACCUAGAACUUAGACUUCAAAACACAUGGAUACAAUCUUGAAAUAGUCUCUUAAUUAUGAAUUAAUAAUAUACCAAUACAUCAUCCAUAAAAUAACCUAAUAUCCCAAAGAAUUAAAGAGAGAGUAAAAUUAAGAAUACAGUUUAAUUAAAGACUACUAUCCUCUCCUCAGACUAUACUCAAAAGUCUUAAAAACAGCAUACUACAGGGACACAGCCACAUCAAUGCUUAUAGCAGCACAAUUCACAAUAGCUAAACUGUGGAGCCAACCUAGAAGUCCUUCAGUGGAUGAAAGGAUUUUAAAAAUGUGGCAUAUAUACACAAUGGAAUUUUACUCAGCAUUAAAAAAGAACAAAAUCAUAGCAUUUGCAGGUAAAUGGAUGGCGUUGGAGAAGAUAAUGCUAAGUGAACUUAGCCAAACCCAAAAAAACAAAUGUUGAAUGUUUUCUCUGAUAUAAGGAGGCUGACUCAUAGUGGGGUAGGGAGGGGGAGCAUGGGAGGAAUAGAUAAAUUCUAGAUAGGGAAGAGGGGUGGGAGGAAAAGGGAGGGGGCAGGGGAUUAGCAAGGAUGGUGGAAUGCGAUGGACAUCAUUAUCCAAGUGCAUGUAUGAAGACAUGAAUUGGGUGUCAACAUACUUUAUAUACAAACAGAGAUAUGAAAAAUUGUGGUAUAUAUGUGUAUUAAGAAUUGUAAUGCAAAAAACCAAAGUACAUGUAUAAAGGCAUGAAUUGGCAUGAACGUACUUUAUAUACAGAGAUAUGAAAAAUUGUGCUCUAUAUGAGUAAUAAGAAUUGUAAUGCAUUCCACUACUGUGGUGUAUUUAAAAAAAUAAAAUCAAUAAAAGAUAAAAAAAAAAAGACUACCUUAUGACCCAGCUAAACUACUCCUAGGUAUUUAUCCUAAAGGAUUAAAGUCAUCUUACUACAGUGAUAUAUGCAUGCCCAUGUUUAUAGCAGCACAAUUCAAAAAAGCCAAGCUAUGGAAUUAGUCUAGGAGUUCAUCCAUAGAUGAAUGGAUAAAAAAAAAUGUGGUAUAAAUACACGAUGUCAUUUUAUUCAGCCAUAAACAAAAGUGAAAUUAUGGCAUUUGCAGGAAAAUGGAUGGAAUUAGAGAUUGUGAUAUUAAGUGAAAUAAGUCAAAUUCAGAAGGUCAAGGGUCCUAUGUUUUCUCUUAUAUGUGGAAGCUAGAGGAAGAGAAAGGAGAGGGUAGAUCACCUAAAAAUCAAAGGGAAAUCAAUAGUGGGAAAGGACCAAGGAAUAGAAAGAGGGGAGGGAGGGGAAAAUGCUAGGGAGUGAUAUUGGUCAAAUUAUAUUUUAUACUGUGUGCAUGUAUAUGUAAUCACAAAUCCCAUCAUUAAGUGCAACUAUAAUGCAUCAAUAAAAAUGUGGAAAAAAGAGAAAAAGUAACCUAAUAUAUUCAUUAUAAAAAUCAUAAUUAAAUCAGGAGGUACUCUUUUUAAAAAUUCUUAAUGAUAUAAUUAGAGCUAACUUUUCACUAUCAAGAAGGAAGCUGCAAAUAAAGGAGGAAGAUCCAAAUGAUCCCUAUGAUGUUGCACUGAAACCAGAGAUAUCAGUUUAAAAUGCAGACACACAUGGACAUGGAUGUUGAGUUGAAUACACGUCUGUAUGGGUUAGAGUACACACACAUAAUUCCUACCUGCUGAGAAAGUUUGUGACAUUGAUACCUCAGAAGCAAAAAUCAUGAAAAGUGGUUACUAUGGAAGCUAAUAGCCUUAGAGAUCACAGUAAUUCCUUUGUUGUUGUUGUUAUUUAUUUAUUUAUUUAUUUAUUUAUCUAUUUAAUGUGGUGCUGAGAAUCAAACCCAGUGUCUCACACCUGCUAGGCAAGCCCUCUACCACUGAGCCACAACCCCAGCCCAGAGAUCACAGUAAUUCUUGAGGUCAUCAAGGUAUCACUUCCAUACUUGAUAUAAGAAAUAGUGACCCUGAAUCAUCAGGAAAUGGUUAAAAUUUAAUCAAUGGUGAUAGUUUUAUGGUUAAGAAGGCAUGCAGAAGACUUCCUUUGAUACUUAGCAUCCAGCUCUUGAUUUCUUAAGAACUGUUUUCCAAUAUAAGGCACAAGGGCUUCUUACAGAAUUGAUUGAUUCAGGACUUGACAGGAAAGCAUCAAACUGAGGUUGGAACAUUUUAUGAUGCCACAACAUAAGGAUGUGCUUUUAAAAGAAGAGGGGCUUGUCAAAAUAUAUAAAAGUUAAACAGGAGUGGUUCCCUGAGGGUAGAGAAGGAACCAUUGGAAGAAUAAAGUAAAUAAAAAUAGAAUUGAUUGAUUAUACUCCAAAAAAUAAAAUGAGUAGCCAUGAAUUGUUGCUGAUAUUAAUUAAUAAUUAACUAUUUCUUAAAUUAAAUUUUAAAAGGAAAAUAAGGAACAAUUCUUUCUUACAGAAAAAUUCUAAUUUUAAAAAGUGGAAGAAAUAAGGGGAAAUCAUCAUUUGGUAAGCACUACAGUUUUAACUAUUGUAGGCAGGAUACACUAAUGGGGACUAAAAUGAGUGGGUAUAUACUUGAGAAAUGACAUUAUAUAAGCAUAGCCUCAAAGUAUCCCACCCAAGAUAUUGGACUAACAAUGGAGAAAUACAUCAGAUACCACCUUAACCAAAUAUUCAAAAAACACAGACAUUGGUGCAACCACUCUGGAAAGCAGUGUGGAGAUUCCUCAAAAAACUUGGAAUGGAACACAAUUUGACCUGGUUAUACCACUCACAGGUAUAUAUCCAAAGGAAUUAAUUAACAUACUACAGUGAUGCAGCCACAUCAAUACUUAUAGCAUUUUAACUCACAAUAGCUACAGUAUGGAAACAACCUAAGUGUCCUUAAACAAAUGAAUGGAUAAAGGAAAUGUGGUAUGUAUACACAAUAGAAUAUUACUCAGCCGUAAAAAAGAAUGACUAUAUGAAUUUUUCCAGUAAAUGGAUGGAUCUGGAGAUUGUCAUGCUAAGUGAAAUAAUACUAAAAAACAAAGGUUGAAUGUUCUUUCUGAUAUGUGGAUGCUAACACACAACAAGGAGGGAUUGGGGAAGAAUAGAAGAUCAUCGGAUUACACAAAGGGGAAUGAAGGGAAGGAAGAGGGGAUGGGAAAAGGAAAAACGGUAAAAUGAAUUGGACAUAACUUUCCUAUAUUCAUAUAUGAAUACAGCACAGUGAAACUCCAUAUCAUGUACAACCACAAGAAUGAGAUCCUAAUUAGAAUAAGAUAUAAUCCAUGUGUACAUAUAAUAUGUCAAAAUCCACUCUACUGUCAUGUAUAUCUAAAAAGAACAAAUUAAAAAAUAAAGAAAACAACAGAACAGACAUCUUACAGCCCCUGAUUACUGUGCAUUGAGAACGGUACAACAUCUCUUACAUGAUAUUUACCCUGAAAAUGUAUAAUCUCAACAUAAUCACAUUAAACAUUAGACAAACCCAAAACAGAGACAUUCUACAAAAUCACUGACCAACACUCUUCAAACAUGUCAAGGUCAUGAAAGACAAGGAGCUCUCACAGAUUCAAAAAGACUUAGGGGAUAUGACAACUAAAUACAAUGUGGGAUCAUGGACUAUAUCCUGAGUCAGACAAAGGACAUGAGGGUGUAAACAAGGGGAAUUCAAAACUGUGCAUAACUUAGUUAAUUAUGCCUUGGUAUUAUGCCUAUGAAAAUUUCCUGUGGGGUGGUUAUGCAACAUGUUACCAUUUGGGGAACACAGGUUGGAUGCUAUAUGUGAACUCUACUGUUUUUGCAACUUUUCUAUAUGCCUAAAAUUGUUUCAGGAUAAAGAGUUGAAAUAGGGCAUGGUGGCACAUACCUGUAAUUCCAGCACCUCGGGGAGACUGAGGAGUAUCUCAAGUUCAAGGCCAGCCUCAGCAAUACAGCCAGACCCUCAGCAACUUAGCAACAGCCUGUCUCAAAACAAAAAAUUUUAAAAAGGACUGGGGAUGUAUGCAGCGAUAAAGCACCCCUGGGUUCAAUUAUUUAUUUUGUUUUGUACCGAAAAACAAAACAAACAAACAAAAAAGAUAUAAAGUAAAAAAAAAUCUUUUUUAAAAAAAAAUAUUUUUGGUUGUAAAUGGACACAAUACUUCUAUUUUAUUUUUUUAUUGGAGCUGAGAAUUGAACCCAGUGCCUCACAAGUGCUAGGCAAGUACUUCAGCACUGGGGCACAACCCAGCCCCUGAAAAAAAUUCUUAAUGAAUUUUGUUGGUUAAAUUUUUUUUUUCAUUUUUUUGGAUUAAUUCCAAAUGAUUUUCUGACGUUUUGCUAAAAUACCCAUGUUGCUCAACAUAUAAUUAUGAGCAAUGUGUAUAGACUAGCAUUCUCCUCUUUCCCUUCUUAAAUGUAACUUCAUUUAUUCACUGAAUAAUUUGACUAAACAGUGGUAGCACCCACUGUGUAUGAAAAGCCUCGUGCUAGGCACAGAGGACAAGAAGUUGAAGAGUACUUGGUCACUGCUCUUGAAACAAUGUUCAGAACUGUAGGGAUCAUUACCAUAAACAAGGAAAUCAGUAUGAAUGUGUUGCUUUCUAACAUGCAGGUGAACAAAGGGCUUUGGGAUAUAGAGAAGCUACUUGUCUUCCCCUAUUUAAAAAUAAUUCAGUGUCUAACAUAUUGACAGAGCCUGCACAAUUAUGUGUAAAAAGCAUACAUUUUUCCAUAAUGUACUAUAUCACAGUUGGCAGAGCAGUUAGCAGGGUUGGGAUUUUGAGCUCUUCCCACUCUUGAGGGAAGAGAACAUUUCCACAAGUUGUCCUUGGGGUCUCUGAGCAAGAGUGAGACAAAGAGUAAGACUUUCCUUUGCAAAAGAAGCUGUCUUCCCACUUCCUGCCUCUGAAAAUACAGACUGCAUUUUCCUAUUGAAAGCCAUCAAUUGCAAUUGAAAUCAAUUCUCCUAGAAGAAGGAGACUUAAGGGAUCACCAGAGCUCAACUUAAUGACAGGAGAGGUCAAUCAAAUUCUCAGCAAAGAGCUCAAGUAAUUUACUUCAUUUCUGAGAUAUGGCUCUAGAGUACCAACUACCCAUGCCACUUUUCAUAACUACAGGUAAAUUGAAUAAUUGGCACAAUUCAUUUCCCCAGCAAGAUGGCCCUGUCGAUUCUAUUCUGAGGUGUCUGUGGGGACUGUUAUGGUUUAGAUCUGGAAUGUCCCCCAAAGGCUGAUGUGUUAAAGGCUUGGUCCCCAAUGCAGCAGUGAUCACAGGUAUGGCCCUUGGGAAGUGAUUGGAUCAAGAGGGCUCUAACCUCAUCAGUGGAUUAAUCCAUUGAGGUAUUCAUAGUUUGAAUGGAAAAUUGAAAGAUGGUAGGAAUUAUGGGAGAUAGGACCUAGUAGAAGGGAGAGGUCUUUGGGUAUGUGCCCUUGGGAACAGUAUCUUGUCCCUGGCUCUUUCCUCUUUCUUCUUCUCUCUCCUUCCUGCUGCCACAAACUGAGUCAUUCUCCUCCACCUUUCACCAUGAUGUUCUGCCUUGUCUUAGGCCCAAAGCAAUGGAGCCAACCAAACAAGGAGUGAAAUCUCUUAAGCAUCAAAAUAAACCUUUCCUCCACCAAAUUGUUUUUUUUUUCCAGAUAUUUGUCACAGUGACAAAAAACUAACACAAGUACCAACAAACCUGCUCCAAAUAUCUCACCUCACACAUCCCUGAUCGAUGUUCUUCUUCCUGUAUUUCAACCUCUUCCUUUCUCUGCUCCUUCCCUUCAUGCUAUAAACCUGCCCAGGUCUCUCUUUCCUGCUUCCUGAACCCUCCUGAGGUGGACUCUGCCCUCCUUGAACAGAAGGCAGAUGGCUGGGAGUAGUACAAAAAAUACUUUUUUCUGCCCAAAUAAAGACAAUAAAUAAAUGAAUAAAUAAAAACAAUUCCUCCUUUUGAACUUUACCCAUCUCCUUCCCUCCUCAUAGUCUUUGGUGCCUCAAAGUCUUUGAGUCCAACACUGAACUCAUUGUUUACCUCCACAUUCAUGAACAAACAGCAUGCUUCCUGCCUCUAUAUCAUGAUCUUGCCUCUAUAUCAUGUUACCUCUAUAUCAUGAUCUUGGUUGGUGACUCCUCUAGUAUCAAAGCACAGAGCCAGAGUCUGGACAUGGUCCCAUACUCUUGCCUAUCUCUUCUCACCUAAGUGGUCAAGAAUUUCCAUCAGUCUUACCCCCUUCAUGUCUUUCAAAUCCAUUCCUGCCCCCUGACCCUCUAUCCCCAUCACCACUACCUGAACUCAGGGUCCCUCUGUCUUCCCUGGACUAUUAAAAUAGCCAAUCCCCUCUUCCCCCGCCUCCUCUCUCACCCCAUCUUUCACCUGUUCAGGUGCAGAUCUGCCUCCCCACCUCCUGGAUGGAAACAUUUGGGAGGUUUCCUUGCUGUGGCUUGCAUGGUUUCUCUUUACUAGUUCUUACUAAUCUCAAAUCCUCCUUUCUGCCUCCAUAAUAAGAAUUGUUAUGGAAAGCUUCCCUCAUCCUAGAAAGUAUAAUACCAAAUAUUUGAUUGGAGUUAUAUCAUUUAAUAUUUGAAAAGUCUUUUGGUGGGGAUAUUAUUUUUUUACCCUUCCCGACAGGUAAUGAAACUAAAGUCAAGAAUUUUGUUCAAAAUUACAGGGAUUGUAAGUGCUGAAGCUGGAAUUUAGAACCCAAGUGUCCUGGCACCAGUCCUCUAAGUCCAUAACCUAGACAUGCACACACUGGAAAUCUGAAUGAUCACUAUUUGCGCACAAAAAAAUACUGUUUAAUGACAUUAUUAUUUUCCUCUCAGAAUAUACUUCUUCUACUUAUUUGACUGAUGCUUUCAAAAGGCCACUCUAAUAUCACUUGUAUGAAGAUUUCUUGUCCUCCUUCUCCACGGGCCUCGAUCCAGUCUUUUAUGAUCUGGUUCCUUACAUACAUCCACCCUCGCCCACACACAAACCAUGCAAUUCUGGAAUUGUUUACUUUUGUGACUCAUUAUUUGGUUUGGACUUGUUAACUUCUUUGCCUUAUUCCCCAGCAACUGGCAAAGGAUCUGGUACAUAUUUUUUAAAGUUUCUUUUUAACCAAAUGGAUCAUUUUAAAAUUUUAUUUAUUUAUUUUUGCAGUAUUGUGGAUUGAAUCCAGAGUCUCUCACAUGUUAAGCAAGUAUUCCACUUCUGUGUUACAUCUCCAACCCCAAAGAACCAGUUUUUAUGCAGGUUUUACUGUCUUUGGCAUUUUUCGAGAAAGUAAUGUGACAAUAGUACUUUUUUGACAGUUUAAAAAUAAACACAAUAGCAGGAAGAUAUAAGCAGUUCAAAUGUCCAUCAAAACAUGAAUAAAUAAACAAAAUUCGGUGUAUACAAACAACAGAAUAUUGUUCAAAUUUAACAAGGAGUGAAAUUUUGAUACAUGCUAUAAUAUGGAUAUACCUUGAGGACUUACUGUUAAGUGAAAUAAGACAAGACACAAUAGGAAAAAUAAUGUAUGUUUCUAUAUAUGUGAAAUCUCCAGAGGAGUUGACUCUAUAGAGACAGGAAGUAGAAUGGUAGUUCCCAGGGGUGGGUGGGAGGAGGUAAUGGGGAGUUUUGUUUGAUGGGUAUAGCACCUGGUGACGGAUGGUGGUAAUCAUUACCCAAUUAUGUGAAUGUACCUAAAGCCACUGAACCAUGCAAUUAAAUGGUUAAAAUGUUAUGUUAUGCAUAUUUUAACACAUUAAAAAAGAACAGCAAGAACAAAAUAGGCAAAAACUAUCAAAGCCAUUAAAAACAAGAAAAAUUGCCACAGCCGGGAGAAACCUGAAUAAGGAGCACCAAACAUGUGAUAUCCUAAUGGGAUCUUGGAACAGAAAAAGGAUGUUAGGUUAAAACUAAUGAAAUAUGAUUAAAUCAUGAAUUUUAGUUAGCACCAUUUCAUGUGUGUGUGUGUGUGAGUGUGUGUGUAUGUGUGUGUGUGUGUGUGUGUGGUGUUGGGGAUUGAAGUCAGGGCCUUGUGCAUGCGAGGCAAGCACUCUACCAACUGAACUAUAUCCCCAGCCCACUAGUUAGCACCAUUGUAUCAAUAAUGAUUUAUUAAUUAGAACAAAUGUAGUAAACUAACUUAAGUGUAAUGUUAUCAAUUUAAGCAAAUAGUAGGGAAAACUGUAUGUCAGGUAUAUGAAGAACUCUACACUAGCUUCAUAAUUUUUUGUAAAUUUAAAACUAUCCUAAAAUUAAAAAUAUAUUAACAUAUUUAAAAGUCCAUUAGAUUUCCCCUUUAUUAAGAACACCCAGAUCCAAUUAAUCAUGGUAAUGUAUUUUAGAAUCAAAUCUCAAAUUAGCUUUAUUCAUUAUGAUCAAGAAGAAAUUAAAAAACAUAUCUAUUCUUCAACCUUUAGCCAAUGACAGCAAAUAUUUCAUGCAAAGGAUAUGAUUUAAGUGGAAAAUGUAGAACUUAUUUCAAACAGUGCAGGUGCUGAAGUCUUAACCUGGUUUUGAUUAAGACAAACCCACCAAGGUCAGAAGGCCUGAAAUAUUGAAUAUUCCUUCAUACCAUAAAUAAGUCAGAUUUUGGGGCUUUCUUGUUGCAAAGGACACUAAUAAAUUAGAAAAAAGAAGGGACUGGCUACUCAAACAUGGUUUACAAUGAUCUCAAGAACCCAUGAGGUUGCAUGUUCCGACAUCCAUUUCCUCCUAUCUCACUACCUUCUUACUCAGCCUGGUGACUCUGUUCUAAGAGCAUAAGGGUGGGUAAUAGGAUUUGGAUAAAAAGCAAGCAUAAGUGGGAAGAAAAGACAACAGAAAGGCAGUGUCAUUUCCUUCUGAAAUCAUGGUUCAGUGAUCACGAAUGAGCUCCCUCUGGACUAGGAUCCACUCCCUGGUAACCUGGGACACUGUGCCAGAUCACAUGUCUGCUCUUGCAGGCAGGGAGCAGGAGCCAGAGGUGACCCAAGCAGAGCUGGGUGAGGCCUGCCAGCCAGUCUUCCAAGAAGCGGGUUGUCUGGUCUUUCUGAGGUUUAAUCCAGAACACGGGGCUGGGUCAGAAAUGAGUGGGUUUCUAGCUGACUGGGAGCACACCAAGCCAGCUUCCCAGAAUUGUGUCCCUGGGUCUUCUCUGUAUGCUAUCAUUACAGCCAGCUGCAGGCCAAAAUAUUAUGCUGCUCUCAUCAGCAGAACAGUCCUAUCACAGAGAAGUAGGGCUAAGAAUGUUAACUUGAACCACCAUGCUUGUUUACAAUCUGGUUGGCCAUGAGAAUAAAUUUCUCUCUCUUUCUCUCUCUCUCUCUCUCUCUCUCUCUCUCUCUCUCUCUCUCUGUGUGUGUGUGUGUGUGUGUGUGUGUGUGUGUGUGUGUGAUAUUGAGAACUGAACCCAUGACUUUGAAGAUACAAGGCAAGCACUCUACCAUUGAGCUAUAGCUCCAGUCCUCUACCCAUUUUCUUAUGAUUACCACCAAGGUUUAUUUUCAAGACUUCACAGCAACCUCUGGCAUAAGAGAGAGAUCAAUUGAGAUAAAGAUGGGGAUGGAGAUAGAGAUAGAGACAAAGACACAGAGAUGGAGUGGGAGACAGAGAGAGGCAGAUAGAGAUCAUUAAAUAGAGUACUGAUCCAUUUAACAGCUAUUUAUUGAGUACCUAUUAAUGCAGGGAAUAUGAUAAAGACAGGGCCCCUACCUUAAGGAACUUCCAGUCUAUGGGGAAUUGAGAUACACAAAUAAUAUUACAGAUUUUACUGAGAUUGCAGAGAUGGUAAAAAAAGGGAAAUGAUUGAAUCUACCAGGUAAAGCUGGGACACAUUCCCCAGAAGAGGUGACUUUUAUGCUGGGUUGUCAGGAAGAACUAGAUUUAUCCUGAUAGAGAUUCAGAGAUUUUCAAAGGAAGGUAGCAGCUCACAGUAGAGCUAUACGUAUGGAGGACUUUGAUUGGGACUGGGACUGGGGAGCAGUUCUGAGCAGGGAGCAUCAUACAUGUGGACUUCAGGUAGGGAGGAUGGCUUUGGGCUCAUCAGGACAGGGCCUUGGAGCUGGGCUGAGUAGCUAGAUUCUGUCCUAUGUCCCCAGUGUGUUAUGUCUUUCCAUCUCUGCUGACCUCAUCACCCUGAAGCUUGAGUCUGGGUGACUGCAGGCUCCUGCUAAUGGACCUCUCCCAGGCAUUCUCCCUUCCAACCUCUUCUCCACACUGAAGCCUGAGGGAGCACUGGUACCCUUCGCUGGAAUUCAGAACAGGCAAAUCUAGUUUGUAGUGAAAGAGAAAGCAGAGCUGCAGUUGCCAGGGGCCUGGGACUGACUACAAAGGAGCCAGAGGGAACUUUUUUUUUUUUUUUUUUAAAUACACUCUACUCUCAUGUAUAUGUUUUUAUUAUUAUUUUUUAAUUUUAUUUAUUUAUUAGGUGUAGAUGGACACAACGCCUUUAUUUAUUUUAGAGAGAGAGAGAGAGAAUUUUAAUAUUUAUUUUUUAGUUUUUUGGCGGACACAACAUCUUCGUUUGUAUGUGGUGCUGAGGUUCAAACCCAGGCCGCACGCAUGCCAGGCGAGCGCGCUACCGCUUGAGCCACAUCCCCAGCCCAAGGAGGGAACUUUUUGAAUGAUGGCAGUGCAUUCUAUUUUGACUAUGCUGGUGGUUGCUCACUGAGCUGCUCACUCAACAAAGGGGCAUUUUACUGCUUUAAAAUUACACCUGGGUGCAACUGAGUUUUAAAUUUAAAGCAACCACGUUUGUUUGCCCUGGGAUGAAGACCAGUACCCUGGACAUGGCCCCUGGAUUCUGCAUAGACUAUGGCUUUCUUCUGCCUCUUCCUGGACCUCCCCCUCUCCACCGCUCUCCUCCAGCCUCACCAGAUUUCUUGUGUCUACAGGACUCAAUGUGGCCUCCUUCUCAUGGGGAACCGUGCCUAUGAUGCUCUUUCUGAUCAGAAUGCUCGUCCUCUCCCUGCUGCUGGCCUUGCCCAGCCAACUGUGGCUCAUCUGCUAGAAGGCAGUUCAAGUCUUACUCUUCAGGAGGCAUUUCCUGUUGCUCUUGCCUGAACUGCUCCUGUGCAACCCGUGAAGGGUUGUUCAGCCUCUCUGUUGUGCUGUAUUCACCACUAUUUCCACUGCUUAGCCCAGUGUCUGAUGUGGUCAGGGAUCAAUGUGUCUCAAUGAAUAAACCUAUCUAAGGAUUUCAAAGAGGUUUAAGUGUUAUAACAUACAUGUGUACAUGUUUCUAAUAGAGAUUUUCAACUAAGAUGUUUGAAAAUGUCUCUCGGGCAUUUCUGUUUCUCAUAAUGCCUGCAGGGUGCUAUUACCAUGUAGCAGCCCCAAGCCAGGCAUGCUAGAUGUACCUCAGUGCUCAGGACAGCUUUCUUAAGGACACUGUUCUUGGAAGAUCACCCUACUUGUGCUGGGGGUAAGUUGUGGAAUGUGGAAGAAGAGAAAGAAAAAAGGAAUGUGGGGAAGUUGAAAUUUGAGUGACUAACUGGAAAACAGAAUCAUCCCAAACCAGGAGUGGCUUAGCUGGGGAGGAAGCACUUACUAAAUACAAUAGAAUUUGAAUGAAAAGAGUGAAGGUGGAAAAUUGAGAGGUAUUUGGAAAAUGGAAUCAACAAACUGGGUGAUCAAUGGAAUGAGAGAGUCCCCCUUUGAGGAACAGUAUAAAGACAAAGGUAAAUGUAAGGCGUGACCUUGGGCAAGUUACUUAACCUCUCUGAGACAAAUUUUCUCAUCUGUAAAAUGGGGAUAAAAAUAACACCCACAUCCAGGGUGGUUGUGAGGAUCAAUGAACUGAAUUGAUAUAUGUAAAACAUCUGGAGCACUGCCUGACAUACACUAAGCAAUAAACAUUUGAUAUUGUAGCUACAGAUACAGGAAUAAAUAGAUACAGAGAAAUAUCAACAGUGAAGAGUGGAUGGAAAGGAUGAAUGAAUGGAUGGAUGAAUGGAGGACAAAUAGAUAAAUUACAAAGAGAUUAAUGAAUGGAUACUGAAUGUGGGAGAUAAAGGAGAGAGCUGAUUCCUGAUUUUUUUUUUUAAAGCAGUCACAGACUUGGGCAAAUCUAUCCACACCUUCCCUUCUUCUUUCUUUAUGUUCAGAGAUCAGAGUACUCGCUUUAUAGGACAGGGCCAUAGUGAUUAACCUACCCUGGAUCGGGGCUAUCAUUGGAAGGAUGAAGCAGGCAAAGCAUCACCAUCUACCUGAGCUGGUGCCCUAAUGCUGGGUUCACAAAAUCUGACUAUUCCAAUAACUUAAGAAAAUGGUGCAGAAAUCAUGCAAACACACAGAAGUACCUUUUCAAAAUCAGAGGAUGGCUCUGUGGCCUUAGGGGUCUGUGGAAAGAGAAUGAGCCACUGGAAUUCUUUAUUCUUAUAUAGGGGACACACAAGGGGAGAUUCCAUGGAACAUUCUAUCCCAAAAAGGGUAAAGGGGUAGGAUUACAAAGGAACAGGUGGGUAUAAUUCAACCCCAUCCGGUGACUCCCACUCUUGGAGCCACACCUCUCUUAUCAGAGCAGAGGUUAAGCCCAAUGUAUUGUCAGGUGCAAUAACUGUUCAGUACCCCUUUACUCAGGACUUAAAGGAGUGCACAUAGCUUCUGUCCAGAGAAGCUCCUGACAGCAAAGGGCUGAUGUGACAAGAAUGUGACAGGCUUGCCGUAUUAGUCUGUUUUCUGUUGCUAUAACCAAAUACCAGAUGCAAAGUACUUACAAAGAAAAGACGUUUAUUUAGCUCAUGGUUUUGGAAGCUGAAAGUUCAAAGUCAGGUGGUCCAUCUGUAUGGCUUCUGGUGAGGGCCCCCUGAGAUAGGGCAGAGGAGCAGAAAUGUAAAUGACAGAGAAGCAGGAAGGAAAAUGCAUCCCAAGAAUGUGACUUUAGAACAGCCCACUUUUAUGAGAACUAACUGGGGUACCACAAAGCCAUAUUAAUCUCUUCCAAAGGCACUGCCCAGUGACCUAAUCACCUUCCACUAGGCCACAUCUCUUGAAGAUUCCACCACCUCUCACCACACUUGGGACCAAAUGUCCGACACAUGAAAUUGUUGGGGGACACACUCAAACCAUCUCCAGAAGAUAGCACCACACCCAGAAGGACUCUGUGAAGCAUGAGGCUCAGGACAGUCAGAGCUCUUGCAACCUCAGUUCAGGCACUCAAAGGGGCUUCCAAACUGCUCCACCUUCCCCUACUCGGUUUUCUUGCUCUCUAAACAUAUGGUUGCCUGCCACUUUCUGCAUUACCUUGCCAACCCCACUGCUCAUGUUCUAUGCCCUUGCCACAUCUUUGGCCUUGGACAACUUCACUCUUUGUGUUCUGCUAAUCUCCCAUAUAGUUUUCAAGGUCAGCGUGAACCCUUCUUGGCUCCUUCCGGUUUAGGGGCUCACUCUUGUACCUGCCCAAUGCAGUCGUCUGUAUACCAGAAUGACAACACUGUCCUCAUGGAUUUGUUUACUUGCCUGGCUCCCCCAGGGGCCAGGAGGCCUUUUUUGUUUUGUUUUGUGGUGGGGAGUGGGGGGGGUGGGGUGGGGGGGUGGGCAGGAUGCCUUUAAUGCAGGAGUUACAUUUGCAUCAGUCAAAGGUUGGUUUAUAGAGCCAUUGAGAGGGGAAAGAAAGGCUCAAGAUGAAGUUUUCAGGAAUCACUCCACACAGCCACAUGGCAGAGCGUGGCCUCUGGGGGAGCCACUGAGUCUCCAGACUGAUGAUGGUACCACAUUAGCAUAAUGAGAAGCUACCUUCUCUCUACAUAUCUCUCAUAGUCAAAUCUCAAAAAGAUUCAUUCUCUGGUUUGCUGUCAUCAUCCAGGUUUGGAUGAUGUUUCCUGCACCAGGACACUCCCAACUCUAUAAAUUUCGGAUUAGUUAGGAGAGAUUGAUUGCUUUAGGAGUCAAGUGCUCAGUGUGGUCCAAAGAGAUUUAGCCAAUAGAAGUCAAGUUCAUUUGCUUCCAAAGGGAAGGCUGCUGGGGGUGAGGAUGAGACCAAUACACUUCCUCCUCCUUUUUUGCUGAGAGAGUGGAUUUCCUCCUACCAGUAAAGUUCAUUGGUGGUGAAUGAUGGAAAAUCAAUUGCCUCUCUGGGUAUCAAUUAAAUUUAACUAUGCUCUUCACUUAACAUUCUUUUUAGUUCACGCCUGACAUAGAAUAAAUCUGCUCUAACAAAACAGGCCAGGGUCAUAGAAUUUUGAUAAUAGGAAGAAAUUCAGGGGUUGUAAAAUGCAGUAGUCACCAAAUAUUACUUUGUAGCAAAAGGAGAAAGAUGGGAAGAUAUAGCAAGUUAAUUUUAUCUAAAUGAAUUCAAUUUAAAGAGCUGGCCUUAUUCUGAGACUUUUUUGUCCUUCUCCUUCUUUGAUAUAUGCUAUUUGUAAUUCACAGCUUCUGUGUGUUUAGGCUUUUCUUGGCAACAUGAAAAUUAGAUUGUUCUUUGACGAUCUAAUGAUCUCUUCUAGUUGCCUGCUGAUUUUUAAUCUUAUUCUCAUCAUUGUGAAGGCCUAGGCCAUAGCUUCAUGAUGAUGAGUUCUUGUGUUACUGUCUUCUCGUCAAUUUUAUCCUUUGUUUCCAAUCAUCUAUUGGGAUAUUGAGCUGGUGCUUAAACAUGUGGUCAGACCUCAUGGUGAAGGUCAUAUUUUUUUAUUUUUUUGGUACCAGGGAUUGAGUUCAGGGGCACUCAACCACUAAGCCACAUCCCCAGCCCUAUUUUGUAUUUUAUUUAGAGACAGGGUCUCCCUGAGUUGCUUAGUCCCUCACUGAUACUGAGGCUGGUUUUGAACUCACAAUCCUCCUAUCUCAGCCUCCUAAGCAGCUGGGAUUACAGGCAUGCACCAUUGUGCCUGGCAAAGGGCAUAUUUUCUAUGAUUCUUUGUCACCAGUUCCAUCUCAUGUCAUAUCACAGGGAACAUUUAGACAUUCUUCUCUUAUAAAUGGGGCCAGAUCAUUUGUGAGAACAUGAGCUGCAAUUUGUGUUUUGUCUCAGCAUAUUUUAUCCAACUUCAACUAGAAUUAUUUCUCCCCUUCUCUUAGCAUUUACAAGUACACAAUCUAUUUUUACUUAUCCUAACUCUGACUUUUAUCCCAUCUAUCCUUCUUCCAUUAUUAUAUUUUCCAGGAUUUCUUUUUCUAGAAUGGAUUCUGAUGAUUUCAGCACUUCUUAAAUCCAAACUUAAUUCAUAUAAUUAGGUACAAGAAUCUAUGAUUUACCCAUUUGCAAGCAUUUAAUUUUUGAAAUGCAUGUUAUUGUAUUUCAGGUUGCUCCCCCAGGCCAGUGAGCACGCAGGUCCACUUCUUACCCUUCUCUUGUUCUGCUCUGUCUCCUAGGGCUGGAUGAGCCCCCGAAGGCUGAGCCCUGGUUUCCAGCUGGGUUUGUUCAGUGGGAGGUAUAAAUGGGAGACAGAAAAUAGAGGGGGCAGAAGAUCAGGUACCAGCAACUGUGUCUCUCCUCUAUGGUCUGACUGCUGCCAGGCAGGCCUAGUAGAAUCCCCACUUCUGUCAAGUGACCUUGUUCCUCAUCUGAUAUAUGCCUCUCUCCUAUACCCCUUCAGCCCAGUGGGUGGAGAGCUUUCUGAUGGUGCUCAGCUCUGGAAUGUGCCCCUUAAUGUGGAAGACAACUUCCUGUAUUAAUCUCUGCUACAAAUACCCAGGGUUGUUUUUUUUUUUUUUUCUUUUUUCUAGGUUGGACCCUAACUGGCAUAAAGAUAAAUUCUCAGAAGUGGACUUGCUGUGCCACACACUUCAGGACUUUCAAACUGAAGGUGGAAGAGAUGGCUUCCUGCUGGCUUCUCUCCCUCAAGGCCUUCCUUCCACCUGUAGCUCUGUGUACGGUCAGGACCCCUUCCUUCUGCCACUCCAUCUGUUGACACAUCUCAGUCUCUGGGCAUCGGAUCAUCCCUCCUGUCGCAUUACAUUUUUUAAAUGAUAAACAAAGCAAAGAGGUGAGACAGAAGGCUGCCACUUCCUAUGGUAAUGGAGGUGUAGGCCUUCAGAAUAUGCCCAGGCAAGGGAAAGAGUAAGCAGCCAUCUGGGUAGCUCCUGAUGGGAGGGAGGGAGGAUUGGAAUAAAUUGUUAAUGUCUUCAAAUUGUGGGAGCUAGGUGGGGAGUUACUGAAUGAGAUCUCCUCUUCAUUUUCUGUCAGGGAGCGGGUGACAUCUGGUCAGCCAUGGCAGCCAUUUCACCAGGUUUUGAAUUUUGGCAGGACUAAAUCAAGGAACAAAGUGCCUUUAACCUAUCAUGGAACUGAUAGUCUUAGUGACUCCGACUCCAUGUGCUUGGGCGGGAAGGCUCCAGGCACUGUCUCCCCAGGCCUGGAGAUGGCUAUAAAUACUUCUGCUUCUUUCCCUUGUAUCAGACAGGACUCUGGCUAGAAACCAGGCUAUCAUCCACCUUGGGUAAAUGUCUGGCUUCAUGUUGUG